rnacentral:lncRNA from 1 species
UUAAAAAAAAAAACUGUACAUUUUAAUGCGUAUUUUUCAGAUAGUUUGUUUAUCAGGGAGGGGGGGGUCACCCACCCAGCCGGAACGUUCUAACCGUGGUCAGAUGUUGCCGAGGUGGACAUUUUACAGGGUGUCGUCAGGUGUGACGCAACACACGAACGUGGACCAGAUGUGGACCGGAUGUGGACUGGAUGUGGACUGGAUGUGGACCGGAUGUGGACCGGAUGUGGACCGGAUGUGGACUGGAUGUGGACCGGUUGUGGACCGGAUGUGGACUGGAUGGGCGCGAGCGUCGGACCACAGCAGAGUUGCCAUUCUCAACCACUCAGCAUCACUAUGUUGCAACAUCGUGCUGAAGGAGGGGUGCAGGAGAGAUGGCGUGUGGAUGCUGGAGUCCUGCUUCAAAGGUCUUUAUUCUGGAGAAAGCAGCGUGGUAGCAGAGAAGAAAGAAGCCAUUAAGAGCAUCAAGACACGCUAAAUGGAACGCUGCUACCUGCAGAAAUGGGAGGAUGAGUAAUCACAUAGUUUCUCUACUUUUGGCCAACUCAACCACAUUCUGCGCACUCAUCCAACAAUUUUCCCAUUAGGGUGGCCGGCUUUCUGUCUACAAACUGGAGAAGUGUGGCAUGAUGGAGCCUCUAAAGGUAAUGACAUGAUGAAAGAAUGUCUUAGAAAAGUGGUCUGUGCUUCCAUCCUCUGUUCUCCAGCCUUUAUCCCUAACACUGAAGCCUUUUCCAGGGGUCACUGGACAUGAAUGUCAAGCUUGCCAGUCCAUCGAAGGACACCUGGGGCCCAGCUGCCGUCUGCAGUUGUGGGUUUUGGACUGUGAGAGGAAACUGAAGCCCAAGAAAGAGGAAUGGAGGUGAGAAGUUUCAAUGUCAAUUUGUAGUUAAGUACCAAAGCCUACUAGCAAAGUGGGGCCAAGUUUGUGACUUGGCGUCACAAGGACUGUUGGAGGGUUAAGACAUGGUUUUAAAGGUGAGUUUGGAAUUAGCUUAAGGCAGGGUUAGGGGGUUAGUUAGAUAGUUAGGGUAAAGAACUGGUUAAUGUAUUAAGUGUCCGCAAAGGCAGAAAUAUGAGGAUGGGUGUGCAUGUGUGAGAAGGAGAACGCCUUCUCUGCUGACACGUUCCUGCUAUGGAAACUACUCCACACUGUCUGCUGAAGUCAUCUGAAACAGAUACUGAUGAAUUUACACCGCUGUUCCAUUAAACUCUUUAAACCCCAAAGGGUGCACGAGGAAGAGAGGCGAGCACCCGUGAUAGAACAUCAAUAUCAGACGAGCUGACGAUGAGAACAAGCUGGAAUUUCGAGCCAUAACGACUCCGCUCCAGACCCCGAGUCGGGCUCCUCGCAGUUAAAAUCGCUGCUCGGGAGACAGUCUUUAAACCGAAUAUUAAGUUACACACAAAUUAUGGAGGCAUUCUGGGAGUCCUGUCAAGAAGAUGUGCUGGGAAACAGAAAUCGGAAUUUCCAAAAACAUCGUUUAGGAACCGAUCCCUGAAAGUAUCUUACAGCUAACCUGGAUAAAAGGCUGAGACACCUUGAAGGACACCCACAGAUGCUUGUUCCAAUGCAAAAAAAAAAGGAAAAAAAAGAAAAUGAUUGAUUGUGACUUGAUUGGGACUGCAGUUCAUCAGAAAAUUAACCUUUGGCCACUACAUGUGAUUUCCCCUCUAUCGAUGUGGGCGUGUUCCGGUUCAUUCGGCCCCAUAAUUGUCCUCACCUAAUGUCGCCCAAUCACUCUAUCGCUGAGGUUUCCUCCGACUUCACCCCGUUAAUCAGUGUAAAUGGUAAUUGUCUUUUCUAGUGGCGACUGUAAUUAAAUUUGUGCCAAUUAGAGAUCAAGGUAAGUGAGGUCAGUGCGGCGGCGGGUCGAAGAUGGCGCCAUCGCCACGCAGGAGAAGCUGGAGCUCGAAGAGUACGGCUGGAUGUGUGGAAGGCGUUUAACGGGAAGGUUGACGAGAAGGAAAAUCGGGACAGUUUAAUCCUUGAGCUGUCUGACAGUUUGCUGUUCAUUGUGUUGUGAAAGUGAUUUCCCAGCAGGCUGAAUCUGGUUUGAGUUGUCACCCUUUAUCCGCUUAAUUUUCACACACGUUCUCUCUUUUUGGCAAAACAAAAUGUCCUUCCUUUCGCAAAGGCCGUCCAGUGUUUUAUUUUUCAGUCGACAUUCGCCUCGUGGAUGCACAGAAAUAAGAUUCAAAGCAGCAUUUAUAAUGAAUUCAACACUGGUGACAUUUCAGAUACAGGUGCAAAAGUUAGCUUAGAGCUAUAAGACAAAAGCAAAAACUACAAAAAGGAAAUAACCACGAAGAAUCAGGAAACUUGUUUUUAAUGAACAAUGAUGGCGAUGGAACCAUGAAGACAGAAGCCCCACUCUCACUAACGGUUAAUGAGAUUGGGGCUGGUAGUUAGUGACUAACCUACCCACAGUGCGUCAGAUUUGGCGCCAUCUACUGGUAAUCGCGCGUAUUCCCAGAGUCCCUGAGCUCCAUCCAAAAGCAUUUUCAUUGUGAAGGUUUGUUAUUGGGAAAAUGUCCUUUCAGAGGAUGAGUGAUUAAUAAAGUUCAUGUUUGAGUCGGAG